rnacentral:misc_RNA from 1 species
ACGGCUAUGUCGUGCGCGAACGCCGCUUCGGUCGCUUUUCGCGCUCGCUCCCCGUCCCAGAGGGCGUCAAACCCGAAGAGAUCAAGGCUGCGAUGGAAAACGGGGUGCUCACCGUGACGUACCCGCGCCAGACCGAGGCGCAGGCUCCCAAGCGCAUCGCUAUUGCUUGAGAGGCAGAGUCCGGUGUGUUCUCUCCCCCCGCGACUUGUAGGAUAUGUGGCGUCAUACUCUCGCUAUAACCCCCUCGAGCUGAAACUUUUUCGUGUAUCGGAGGAAAUACGGCUGUAAUAUCAG